GAUGAACGCUAGCGGCAGGCUUAAUACAUGCAAGUCGAACGCCCCGCAAGGGGAGUGGCGGACGGGUGAGUAACACGUGGGAACCUGCCCAAUGGUUCGGGAAUAACCGCGGGAAACUGCGGCUAAUACCGGAUAAGCCCUCUGGCAACAGGGGGGAAAGAUUUAUCGCCGAUGGAGGGGCCCGCGUCCGAUUAGGUAGUUGGUGGGGUAACGGCCUACCAAGCCUACGAUCGGUAGCUGGUCUGAGAGGANGAUCAGCCACACUGGGACUGAGAUACGGCCCAGACUCCUACGGGAGGCAGCAGUGGGGAAUAUUGGACAAUGGGGGCAACCCUGAUCCAGCAAUGCCGCGUGAGUGAUGAAGGCCUUAGGGUUGUAAAGCUCUUUACCGGGACGAUGAUGACGGUACCCGGAGAAUAAGCCCCGGCUAACUUCGUGCC
rnacentral:rRNA from 1 species